rnacentral:rRNA from 1 species
GACGAACGCUGGCGGCGUGCUUAACACAUGCAAGUCGAACGGAAAGGCCCUGCUUUUGUGGGGUGCUCGAGUGGCGAACGGGUGAGUAACACGUGAGUAACCUGCCCUUGACUUUGGGAUAACUUCAGGAAACUGGGGCUAAUACCGGAUAGGAGCUCCUGCUGCAUGGUGGGGGUUGGAAAGUUUCGGCGGUUGGGGAUGGACUCGCGGCUUAUCAGCUUGUUGGUGGGGUAGUGGCUUACCAAGGCUUUGACGGGUAGCCGGCCUGAGAGGGUGACCGGCCACAUUGGGACUGAGAUACGGCCCAGACUCCUACGGGAGGCAGCAGUGGGGAAUAUUGCACAAUGGGCGGAAGCCUGAUGCAGCAACGCCGCGUGCGGGAUGACGGCCUUCGGGUUGUAAACCGCUUUCGCCUGUGACGAAGCGUGAGUGACGGUAAUGGGUAAAGAAGCACCGGCUAACUACGUGCCAGCAGCCGCGGUGAUACGUAGGGUGCGAGCGUUGUCCGGAUUUAUUGGGCGUAAAGGGCUCGUAGGUGGUUGAUCGCGUCGGAAGUGUAAUCUUGGGGCUUAACCCUGAGCGUGCUUUCGAUACGGGUUGACUUGAGGAAGGUAGGGGAGAAUGGAAUUCCUGGUGGAGCGGUGGAAUGCGCAGAUAUCAGGAGGAACACCAGUGGCGAAGGCGGUUCUCUGGGCCUUUCCUGACGCUGAGGAGCGAAUGCGUGGGGAGCGAACAGGCUUAGAUACCCUGGUAGUCCACGCUGUAAACGGUGGGUACUAGGUGUGGGGUCCAUUCCACGGGUUCCGUGCCGUAGCUAACGCUUUAAGUACCCCGCCUGGGGAGUACGGCUGCAAGGCUAAAACUCAAAGGAAUUGACGGGGCCCCGCACAAGCGGCGGAGCAUGCGGAUUAAUUCGAUGCAACGCGUAGAACCUUACCUGGGUUUGACAUGGAUCGGGAGUGCUCAGAGAUGGGUGUGCCUCUUUUGGGGUCGGUUCACAGGUGGUGCAUGGCUGUCGUCAGCUCGUGUCGUGAGAUGUUGGGUUAAGUCCCGCAACGAGCGCAACCCUUGUUCACUGUUGCCAGCACGUUAUGGUGGGGACUCAGUGGAGACCGCCGGGGUCAACUCGGAGGAAGGUGGGGAUGACGUCAAGUCAUCAUGCCCCUUAUGUCCAGGGCUUCACGCAUGCUACAAUGGCUGGUACAGAGAGUGGCGAGCCUGUGAGGGCGAGCGUAUCUCGGAAAGCCGGUCUCAGUUCGGAUUGGGGUCUGCAACUCGACCUCAUGAAGUCGGAGUCGCUAGUAAUCGCAGAUCAGCAACGCUGCGGUGAAUACGUUCCCGGG